GAGUAGAAAACAAAGUAAAACAUCAAAGAGGUUAAAAAACAAGGGGACCAAACACAUGCAGAGCAGGUUAGAGAUGAUGAAAACUGGAAUUCAAAAGCCUCAAAAAAAAAAAAAAAAAGUAGGCGCAAAACACAUGCAGAGCAAAAUACAGAAUAUGAAAGCAGAAAAAAAUGACAGUGUCCAAACAAAGACAGUAAAAUUCGCAUUAGCGCAAAGAAAUAGAAAUUAUUACUCGGAAAAAUAACGAAAAGGCAAAUAGAGAUCGAAUAUAUGGACAUAGGUGAUAUGUCAGAAGUAUGUAAAUAUUGCUUUGAAGGUUAAGUCAGAGAAUUUCAAAAAUGUGUUUUACCUCACAUGCAUUUAUUGGUUACUUUGCAAAAAAAAAUAAAUUUAGCUGCUGAUGACGUAGAUUGCAUUUUCUGUGCUGAAAUUCCAAACAGAGAAACUUAUCCUGAAUUAUGGUACAAAGUCAUUAAACACAUGUAUCACUGACCUCAUUUAAAAGAUUCAGCAUAUUGGAACUCGAAAGAUUCCAAAUACUGUUUUUACAUAUGUUCUGAAAGAAAAGUGAAACUAAUGAAAUGGCAACAAUUCAAAGAAAAAAAAAUCUUAAAAGUGUGUAUCCAGAAAACCAAACACGGGGGUUGGCGAGCGAAGAGAGCAGGGGGCAAAGCCCCCUAGUAAUUAAAUAAAAGAAAGUAACGUGCUACAGCAGCACACCUUGCGGAAUGGGUUUAAAAAUCAAGGGAGCAACAGAGCUCUAGUGCUGAAGUGUUUCCCCUGAAUGAACAGCGCAAAAUUAAACUGACCCGCAGGGAAAAAUAAUUGCAGACCCCAUCUUGAUGCGUUAAAUGUUUAACUAGCUACAUUAGAGGUUUUAACCUGUAGAAAAAAAUAAACGUGACACCCCUACUUCAUGCCCACCAGUUUACAGUUUAUAUUUAUUAAUGUUUCCAUAAUGUAGAAGCAAGAUACUUCACGAACAUUCUUUGUAUCAACUCGUGUGGCAGGCCUUCAAGUGAUUGGCUAAAUUAGCCCCUUUAGUUGAUAUUGUACUGUACCAAAUCUUGCAUACAGGCUUGCAUUUAUCUUGUGGUUUUCCCAUCCCCAUUUGCUACAAGGCUAAAGUAUUUUCAGAAGCCACCAUGGCUGCCCUCUUUGUUAAUGAAGCAUGGUGGUGAAUGCUCCGAUGCUGCUAAAGGAGCCAUCUUAUUUACACUGGUGAGUAAGGGGAAACAGGCCUGCAUCUCUAACCAUGCUGUUUAAUAGUCCUAUGAGGUUCAAUUGUCAAAAGCCAGAGUGAACCGGAAGCACAUUUGUAAUGUAGGCUGUAGAAUCAAUACAUGAAAAAUGAGUAUUGAAGUAAUUUAAAAGUGUUAAAAUCAUUACUUGUUCUUAUUCUUCUUUCGGCAGCUCCCGUUAGGGGUUGCCACAGCGGAUCAUCUUGUCUGCAUAUUGAUUUGGAAAAAUUUUACAUCGGAUGCCCUUGCUGACGUAACCCUCCCAAUUUAUCCGGGCUUGGGACCGAAACAAAUAAAAACACACUGGUUUGUGCAUCCCCUGUGGCUGGGUUAAAAUCAUUACUUAUUGAUAUUAGUUUAAAACUAGAAGUUUAAACCCAGUCCUGCGACUGGGUUAAACAUGAGACUUUGUGCCAAGAGAUUGACCCAGGACUAUCUCGCGAUGACGUAGAACAUGAGAUUCUUGCAAGACACGCCCUACUUACAACCAAUAUCAAAUAAGACAGCGGGCAGCAAAACAUUCAGUCAUCUAAAGGAUUUGAGCACACACAGAUCCAGGGUCUCAGCACAUAUAAAGCGUAUAAGGACAAUAUAUUAUAAAUGAAAUGUCGAUGACUAAGCAAAGAUGAAAGCAUCGCGGAGAAGAAGCGUUGGAGAGGAAAAAAGAGCAAAAAAGAAAAAGAAUAAUCUAGGUGCAAAUUCAGAAAAUAAGGAGUAAUUAUCAGCCCGGAACAAAUGGAAUUGAAAAAAAGCACGUCAAAUCGGGCUCAGAAUUUAAAGACAGAUAGUAAAAGACAAAGUAGAACUUCAUAAAGACGUUCACAAACGUUGGUGCUGUACACACGCAGAGCAGGUUAGAGAUUAUGAAAGCAGUGGAAUUCGAAAGGCUCAAAAAAAAAAAAAAAACGGCGCGAUACACAUGUGGAGAAAGUUAAAGAAUAUGAAAGUAGGGAAAUUAGAAAGUAUAAAAAAAAAAGAAAGUGAAGAUCGCAGUUGCGCAAACAAACGGAAAUUAUUACUCGAAAAAGGGAAAAUAAUCACCAUGGACCAGGUGUCAUUGGAAAAAAAAAGCAGAACAAAGCAAGGUCAGAAAUAAAAGACAGAGUAGAAAACAAAGUAAAACAUCAUAAAGAGGUUAAAAAACAAGGGGGCCAAACACAUGCAGAACAGGUUAGAGAUGAUGAAAACUGGAAUUCAAAAGACUCAAAAAAACCCAAAAAAAAACCGUAGGCACGAUACACAUGCUGAGCAAGAUACAGAAUAUGAAAGCAGAAAAAAACGACAGUAUCAAAACAAAGACAGUAAACAUCGCAUUAGCGCAAAAAAAGAAAAAUUAUUAACUUAAAGCCGAAUAGAGAUAGAAUAUAUGGACAUAGGUGAUAUGUCAGACGUAUGUAAAUAUUGAAAGGCUUUGAAGUUUAAGUCCAAAAACGGGGUUUACCUCACAUGCAUUUAUUGGUUACUUUGCUGAUGAUGUAGAUCGUUUUGUCUGUACUAAAAUUCCAAACAGAGAAACCUAUCCUGAAUUAUGGUACAAAGUCAUUAAACACAUGUCUCACUGACCUCAUUUAAAAGAUUCAGCAUAUUGGGACUCCAAAGAUUCCAAAUAUUGUUUUUACAGAAGUUCUGAAAUAAAAGUGAAACUAAUGAAAUAGCAACAAUUCAGAGAAAAAAAAAUCUUAAUAGUGUGUAUCCGGAUAACCAAACACGGGGGUUGGUGAGUUAAGGGAGCAGGGGGCGAAGCCCCCUAGUCUUUCAAAAAAUACUGUGCCAGUGACCUAUUUAUGUAUCUGUUCACAGUGCAGCCAAAAUGUAAUAAUAAAGCUUAAUGUGGGUAUGCUUGUUUGUUCUUUAUACAAUUCCACACCUUUGAUCCAAUCUCAACCAAACUUUGCACACAUAUCCCACAUUAUUAGGAAGUGAAAAUAGAUUACUUUGUAGCUCAGACUUUUGACUCUGGGGGUACCUGAGUUGAGGGUGGGAUUUUGACUUCUGAGAAAUUAUUUAACUUAUUUCAGGGCUCAAAAUCCAGGAAAAGGUUCUGUCCUAUAUUCAAGCAAAGUGAUUUGUAACACGUAAUUAUUGUGUGAUAGAAAAAUAUUUAUUUUUGAAUUGUAGCAGUAUUAAUUCUUUUUUUGUCAUAACUACGCCUCCUAACUGCAUUUGGCAAAGUGUGUUCUGCUGCCAGAUAGAGGUUAGAUAGCUCUGCCUUAUAAUGACUUACCUAGGCAAUACCAGGUCCUGCUGCUAGUACUUAAUAAAGAUUACUGUGCUAUAAGCAAUUGAUUUUGCUAAUAUGGGUGUUACUCUGUGUGAGUUUAAAACAUUAAAUCACCCUAAACAUUAAAGGAAACAUUGUUUGUGUAUUUAAGUUGUAUAACAGUUUAUAUGUAAUCCAGAAAAGUUAGAACUUUGUGUGUGCACAUUUCUCUGUUACCAAGAUUUUUGUAAAUUUGUGUUUUUCAAUUUGAAAACAUUUUUGAGAUUGGUUGUACAACUAAACUUGAUCAUAACUUAUCUGUCAAUCUAUUUUCUAACCUGCUUAUUCAGUCCAUGGUUGUGGGGAGCUGGUGUUUAUUUCAGAUAUAUAUGGCUAAUUACCAUAUUUUAUUAUGCUAUUAUAGGGAAUCUUAAUGUAUUUAAUUGGAAUUAUGUGCCAUGAAUAAACAAAACAUAUAUUUAAUCAUAAUUCUUUGCCAUGCAUAAACAAAACCUCCAUAAUGUGAAAUUAAAAUGUAUAUUGUACAGAGCUAUCCAUUUCUACAUUACCAAGUUGCCUAAUCCAUUUUGGAGGUGUCAUUGAAAAUGUUUCUCCAGAAGGCAUUGACACAAUGCAGGGACCAAGUAAAGGAGCCAGUCCAUCAGAGGGCACACUUCAACACAAACUCUCCCUCACACAUGCAGAGCUAAUUUAGACUUGACAAGUCGGACUUUGAAAUUAAAUUAUAGUCACAAAUCUUUACUGCUAAGUUACUAGCACUUUUCUACUUCUGUACAAAGCAAAAGUUGCCAAGUCUGCAUUUAUUUACAGUUGUGCCAUGUCAUCAUUUAUUAGGUGUUCUACUACAGGUGAAAAAGGCAGAAAAAAACCGAAACAUUCCAAUGAAGAUCAAACAAACAUAUUCAAAUAAAAGUGCUGAGAUCAAAACCAGGAGAUUGAAAGUACCAAAAUAUCAAAACCCACCACAUAACCAGUGCCUAAAGCUGAAAAAACAUGCAAGCCUGGAUUCCAAAAAUCCUUUUUAUUUGUUUACACCACACAAGACUGUUUGUUGAGUUCCAAGUCUUGGAUGCCAGAAGGACUUACACAUCAUAGUGUGAAACUUCCAGGGAUUCCAUUGCAGCAGUGGAGACCUGUUUCUAACAACAGAAGAGACAAAAUGGCAGCACCCAUGGUAAAACAAAAUAGUGCCAAAAAUAUAAAUAAACAUGUUAAAUAUUUAUAACUCAUAAUAAAUGGAACAAAACCUAUCAAAAAGGUACAAAAGUAAAUGAAGGUUUCUACAUAUAAUCUUCAUUUACUUUUAUAUCUCAGAAUAUUACUUUAUCAUGAGAUUGCGUGAAUUGACUAAUGGCAAAACAAUUACAAAUAAAUGCAUUGUUAAAACUGUAUCUUUUGUCAAAAGGAAUGAAAAUUCCGAUGUCAUGAGCACAUUUACAAUUAUUGACUAUUUUUAAAGUAAUUAAAUACAGGAAUAGCUGGUUUUAAAUGGUGCCUGGAGCUGGGUGCCCAGCUUCUAUUUCAUGGAACUUCAGUAGAAAAUAGUAGGGCUUUUUCUGGUUUCUCUCCUUUCUGAAUAGGAGUCAGGCCUUUCCUUAUACAAUUUAUAUGAAUACACACAUAAAAUGAUUAGAAAUGUUGUCAGAUGUACCAUAUAUGGCUAGAUUUUUGUCAUCUCCUCCAGCACAUUCGUCCUUAUUUCAUAAAAGUGCAUGUGUAGUAAUACACGUGGUCCCAGAUAUUUAAACAUUCUGUAUUCUACUAAAAAUCUUUUAUUAGUCCAUAAAAUAUUGUCUUGAAUGAGAGCUACUCAGAUUAAGCCAUUAGGCUAUAGAAGUAUUAAAAUGUGAAUCAUUUUGUGUUCUAUUUAAACUGGACACUCAUAAUUUUCUAGUUCCCAAUUGAAAGUUUUUACUGGAAUGCCCCCUCAUGUAAAGACUUUCUAUUCAUCAAUCCCACCUUCAAAAUCCAAGACAGCUGCAUGACGCAUUAACAGUAAGAGAAAGCUGUAGUUUUAUACUGUUUAUUAGUACUUCUGUCUAUUUGUGUCUCAUACACAAAGUACAGUCCAACUUCUAUCUGUGGACAUGCUGCUACACAAUUUGAAUGUACCAAGUACCAUGUAAUUUAUUGUUAUGGACUGCUACAUGCUAACAAUGGCUUAAUGGCUAACCUGGUUGAAGAGCAAACCACACAUCCCCCAACCUGUGAAAUACAAAAAUAAAAAUAAUUGGAAGCAGAAAUUCCAAUUUAAAACUUAAAUGUUCUUUUUUAUAGGGUGGAAUCAGCUGAAGUGGGACAUAUUUUGGGGAGAUUUGCCAUAAAAUACCACUUAAAGAUUAUCAAACCAGUUGCGGCAAACUCUAAAUUUUAGUAUGACUAUUUUUCUGGGAAUGUUUGAAAUAGUGUACAAUUUCUCCAUGACUGACUUUUUGGAUGAGGAAGACCACCAUUCUGCUUGGUCUCCAAAUUUUCUUCUAAAUUUACCACAACUUCACAUGCAUUUUAUUUGCUUACUGAUGAAUAUAAUGUGUCCCUUUGUUACCAGUUAUUUAAUCUUUUAUCAUAACUUCCAUUAGAUUAGAAGGGACACAUGCUUAUAUCAACAGAACCAGCCUGUAUAAAUUUAUAAUACACUUCAAAAUGUUUGCCCUGCUUUUGUAUUACCAGCAUGAUAGUAUUAGUUAAGUAACUUAAUCAUGAGCAGCAGUUAAUAUUAGAAUGAAAGAUGAAAAAUUACUUUUUAACAUGGAGAAGUAUUGUUUUGUUCUAAAAUGUUUUUUUCAUUUAAACAAAUUAAGUAAAUGGUUAAGUAAAUUAAGUAUGUCAGAGUUCUGUCAGGGCUGUAAUGUUGACAAAGUGUGCUUUUUUUAGUCUAUGUGGACAUGAACACGAAUGUGUUCGUAGAUUGUUCAGAGGAGCACUCCAUUCCCACGUCCAUUAUACCAGAAAGCAAUGGACCCCACUACAUACUAUUUGAAUGAGGACAUGACAAAAGUCUUGGCAAACAUGGUUGAAGCUGGAGACUUUCACACAUUAACACUUUGUUUUAGACAGCUGCUGGGAGAACACUGAUGCCACAGGCAGUCUUGCUUGCAAAUGAGGGCUUCAGCAAAGACCAAACACUGUUUUUGAUUGACUUGAUGUGGCAGCACAUUGGGACUGAAGGCAAAGGUCUACCAAAAAUUCAAAAUGACCUGAACACACGCUUUAAAAAAGGCAAGCAGAAAGGAAUGACCUUCUGGGAGGACAACAUGAUACGGUCUUUCUUGUUCUUGAAUCAUCGGGAGUACGUGGGCCCGAAGCACUAAGACAUUGUAGAUGUUUCACAGCAUGUGCUAUCACUGUGUCCAGCCAAGCAACAACACCAAUUGCCACACCAACGUCACCUCAUAAAAAAAAGGGUGGAUUACUAGUUCAAUCAGUUCCUGCAAGAGUCAGAAGAAGCCAGUCAGCAGUGCCAUGAGGAAACUCUAACACAAAUGAAGUCAGCUCAGCAUGUUGUUGAGGGUCUGAUGACUAAAUUGUUGCACAAGCUAUAAUCUGUUGCUAUUUGGAGAAGCUUGUACUGGUCAAUGGGAAACAGCUACAUUAUUUUUAUACAUUUUAUCUGAGGCUCUCGGGACAAGGAACAUUGUUUUGGUAUAUAGCUUUUGAAAUGUGUAUACAUUUUGAAUACAAAUACUUAUGUCACAGUUUGGAUACUUUGGACAUUGUGUACUCGUUGUGCAACUUUUAACCAAUUAAAUGUAGAGCUGCUGCCAUAAGUUAUACUCAGCCAACAUAACUGUCAGGAUUCAACUAAGAAUAACUUGAGAAAGAGAGCUAAGAAAAAGGGAUGAAGAGGAGGCAUCCAGGUGAGAACAAACAGACCCUCUCUGCUCAGAAUGCAGAGACAUCAGCAACUGCUAUUUUUUUUUGUUUCUCUGAAACAGGACUAGCUCCUGAAACACUAGACACAGUGAUAAUUUCUUACAAUACAGGUUUUUCAGUCUUUCACGGAGAUCUGAGAAAAUUGUCCAGUAAAAGCAAAGGGGGAGGUAUGUGUUUUUUGUGAACAACAUGUGACAUGCAAAUGGUAAGAUUUUCUCUAAAAGCUGUACAUCUGAUUCAGAAACGAUUAAUGAUCCAAGUUUAGUCUAUUAUAUCUUCAAAAGGAAUUCUCUCUUGUUUUUUUUUGGUGUUUAUAUUCCUCUGCAAGCCAACAUGAAAAAUGCAUUGAACAAUAUGUACACCAUUAUUAUAGAAUGCGAGUGUUUACAUUCUGAAAGAUUAUUGACUAUUAUUGAGGACUUCAACAAAGCAAAUUUAAUAAACAUUUACCCUAAACUAUCAUCAGCAUGUCAUUGGGCAUUUCACCUCACUCUGUUUCCUUUGUCCUGUUUUCAUUUUGUUUUAUAUUUGUAAUUUUACCCUGGUUGCUUAUCCUAAAAUAUGUUUAUCUUCAGAAGCUAAGACUAAUUCGUAUUUAGAAUUCUGAGAUGCUGUGGUCAGUUGGCCUGCACUUACCUGACAGGACUAUAUAAGGACCUCAACCGUCUCACAUGUUUUCUGUGUCUUUAGCUAGUGUUUGCUCCUGUGCUCUUCAGACACUUUUUUGCUGUUUGAUUUUUUGUUUAAGUUUCUGCUUUGUAUUUUUUGUUUGCAGUUUAUAACUUUGCCUUUAGGACAUCAAGUUUUAGAUAUUUUGGCCAAAAAUUAUUUAUGCAUGCUUUUUUACAUUUUUCCCUGUCUUUUUGUAUUUCUGUUUUUGAGCCACGUUCUUAAGUAAUUAAUUUAUUUCUUGUUUGUUUCUGAGAAAAACAUUUGGUGUUUAUUUCCCUGUCAUGUAAUUUUUGAAGUAUUCCAUUUAUUUAUUUUUGUUUAAAUUAUUUCAUCUUUUUCAGAUUUUAGUAUUUGUGAGUUAAAAUUUGAUUUGUUAUUUGUUAUUUUUUUAUCUGUUUUCACCUUCCCAUUUUGCGAUGUAAUCAUUAUAGCUAAAAAUUUAUAAACUGGGAAGUGGGAUUUUUGUGUUCCUGACAGUAAUUUUCUUUUCUACAUCAUUGUCUGGGAGCCUUGCAUUUGCCAGUGAAACACAACAAAUUGGACACGAAAAUAUUUGUUCCCUUUUAAUAUUCUCUGUAGCUCUUUGCUUGUUGCAGACUUCUUCACAGAUGACAAUACUGUAUCAGAAAUAUAUUUUUUGCUAUUUCCUCUUCUGAAUUUUAAUCCCUUGCUUUUAAUACACCACUACCUCUUUGACUGUGCUGUUGCUGCUAGUACUAUAUAAUAAAAUAACAUACUUUUCUACUUUUCAUUUUUGACAAUAUUUCUGGCUUUUAAGAAUUUGUUAGAAUCAUUUUUGUUUUGAUUAACUUUUUAAAGAAUAUUCUUUUUUUAAUUACUUAUUUGUUGCCAUUUCAGUUAAAUAAUUAUUUCACUAUUUUCUGUAUUUGUUUUUUCAAGUGCAUCACCAUUUUGUGUUUCUGAACUUCAUAGGCACUGCCAGUUUUUGACUGGUCUCCUUGAUGUUGCAUUUUUGCUACGUACGUAAUGCCCUUGUGACUUGUGACAUGGCAGUCAUUAUAUUUAAAAUGUCCACUGUCAUUAAGCUAGUGCCUAAACCUCAGUAAAACAAAGAGAGGUAUUGCAAGAGACUAGCACUUCUACAAAUGAUACAGAUCUAUUUAGCAAGAUCUUUUAGUUUUGAAUUGUAGUUUGGUUUUGACUUAAGAUGUGGAUAGUGACUAACUCAAAAGAAAAAUGUUUAUUACACCCUUGGUUUGGUUUAUACUAUUUUUUUUUUUGUUUUCUCCUUUAAAGGAUAAUAUUUGCUCAUUUCUGUUACUCUUAGUAUUUCUAAUUUCUGUUUUACUGUAACUGCUGCAUGUUCUCAUAAACCAUUCUUGUAGACAUUAUAAAAUAUUCCUUCUUAUAAAGUAUUUUUAUUUUGAAUUUGAAAUUUCUGAAUUCCCUCAUUGGUUUAAUAAAGUUUAUCUAAUCUAAUAUAAUCCAAUGCGAAAUUGUCAUACUUUG